rnacentral:rRNA from 1 species
UACGUAGGGUGCGAGCGUUGUCCGGAAUUAUUGGGCGUAAAGAGCUCGUAGGCGGUUUGUUGCGUCUAUCGUGAAAACCUGCAGCUUAACUGUGGGCCUGCAGUGGGUACGGGCAGACUAGAGUGCGGUAGGGGAGACUGGAAUUCCUGGUGUAGCGGUGAAAUGCGCAGAUAUCAGGAGGAACACCUGCGGCGAAGGCGGGUCUCUGGGCCGAUACUGACGCUGAGGAGCGAAAGCGUGGGGAGCGAACAGG